rnacentral:rRNA from 1 species
AUUGAACGCUGGCGGCAUGCCUUACACAUGCAAGUCGAACGGUAACGGGCCUUCGGGUGCCGACGAGUGGCGAACGGGUGAGUAAUGUAUCGGAACGUACCUUUCAGUGGGGGAUAACGUAGCGAAACUUACGCUAAUACCGCAUCUUCUGUGCGCAGGAAAGCAGGGGAUCGCAAGACCUUGCGCUGAUUGAGCGGCCGAUCUCAGAUUAGCUAGUCGGUGAGGUAAAGGCUCACCAAGGCGACGAUCUGUAGCGGGUCUGAUAGGAUGAUCCCCCACACGGGAACUGUGACCGAGUCCAGACUCCUACGGGCUGCAGCAGUGGGGAAUUUUGGGCAAUGGGGGCAACCCUGAUCCAGCCAUGCCGCGUGAGGGAGGGAGGCCUUCGGGUUGUAAAGCUCUUUCGGCCGGGAAGAAAUCGUAUCGGCUAAUGCCUGGUACGGAUGACGGUACCGGCAUAAGAAGCACCGGCUAACUACGUGCCAGCCGCCGCAGUAAUAC